CUUUUAACCAGAAUAGCAGAUUCGUGCCUGGGUAUGGAUCAGUUGGCCUACAGAGGGCCAGUUGACCUAUACCAGUAUCUGCCAGCAGGCUGCAGUCUUAAUGUCUUCAUUGGACUGAAAUUUGCUCACAGGUAGAAUGAAGACUUCUCUGGCAAAAAUGUUUGCUGGGCUUUGAGUCAGUUCAAACUGUGUAUUCAGGGUUAACACGUGCUCUGUUCCUGCACUGCUGUACAUCGGUUACUUGCUGGAGCUUCUCUUCCAAGAUUUACUGCUCCACACCUGGGUGUGCAUCAAGUGGCAACAGCUGUAAAGAAGUCUGUGUCACCAGUCUAAUUUACUCUCUGUCAUAAUAGCUCUCUGCAGAAAGAAUUGCUUGGAAACUGCAGUGAUUGCCCAUCUCAUUCUUCAUCUGAAAUUCCUAGCCCCUCGUAUCAGCUGUCUUCACAAAACAUAGGGAAGCAGGGAAGUGGUCAUCAGAGACCCUGUUAACGCUUCCUGAGGUACAGGUGUUGCAAAAAUGAAGCAACUACACGUGCAGACUGGGAUAAUGCCAACACAAAUCCUGAGAAGACUAAAAAAAUGGGAACUGCUCUUACUAAGGGAUGUGACAAAACUGUCUUGAGUUUAAAGAGCUGCAUCUUCCAUGUGGAGAUACCACAGGUAUUUUGGCAGUGUUGGUUGUUCAGACUUAAUGUUACAAGGCAGCUGUGUAAAGCAUACUCAGAGAUAGUCACGAAGAAACCAAAGAACCCUCUGACCCUGAUGCUGCUUGUUAGGACUUUCAAAGACUCCUUGUGUGUGAGGACAAAUAUUUAUGUAACUGUAUUUAUCCAUUUACUUUGUAUGAGAUUAAAGCAGUUUGGGUA